rnacentral:tmRNA from 1 species
GGGGCUGAUUCUGGAUUCGACGGGAUUUGCGAAACCCAAGGUGCAUGCCGAGGGGCGGUUGGCCUCGUAAAAAGCCGCAAAAAAAUAGUCGCAAACGACGAAAACUACGCUUUAGCAGCUUAAUAACCUGCUUAGAGCCCUCUCUCCCUAGCCUCCGCUCUUAGGACGGGGAUCAAGAGAGGUCAAACCCAAAAGAGAUCGCGUGGAUGCCCUGCCUGGGGUUGAAGCGUUAAAACGAAUCAGGCUAGUCUGGUAGUGGCGUGUCUGUCCGCAGGUGCCAGGCGAAUGUAAAGACUGACUAAGCAUGUAGUACCGAGGAUGUAGGAAUUUCGGACGCGGGUUCAACUCCCGCCAGCUCCACCA